CCGGCUGGUUAGAGUUCAGACGUGGCGGGCCUGGGGGUUCCAGUGCACCAAGCUCCCAGCGCCGGCGCCCAGUCGUCGCAGCGCCGGGUGUCGCCAAAGCUGUCUGGAACUCUGGAGGACUGGAAACUCCAAAACUCAAAACCAAGCAACUGCUGAGAGAGGGGAAAAGUAAUUAUACCAACAUUUGAAAGGGUGUUGGGAAUUCUAGGUGACCUGGGCAAGAGUGAUCUUAAUCACAGUUUUUAAAAACCAGAAUGAUUUCAUAAGCUAAAUCUCAGAAGAAACGGAUUCAAAUGGGAACAAUGGUGCACUUUGGGCUCUGUGUGCUGGCUGACAGAUUGGAAUUGCAGGGGUUGUCCUCAGUUGCUUCUAUACUCAGCUUGGAGGUACCAGAUGACAUACUGCAGGUGGUACCCAUGUCUGCAGGAGUCCAUCCAUAUUCCCACCCUCUGGCAUUCAGUUGUGACCUUGUAGCAGACUCCACCUGUGAGUGCAUAUGACUGCCCUGGGCCUCCCACCUCUCUGAGAAGAUCUCAGGAACGUUUUUGCAGAUGGACAUGGCUCUCGGCCUGGCCCACAAAAUGAAGAUAACAUGGAAAUACGCCUGGAGGUAUCUGCAAUGGACAAUACUGCCAAAACUGUUUUGAAAAUAUGGAUUUUGUUCUAGUUCAUUGACUUAUGGGAAGUGAAUAGAAUUUAGAAACCUUAUAAAUCACACUCCUCACUCUAGUCAGCCAAAGAGUGGGCCAGCAUGCAAACACUUUCUCCAAAUGCAUCAGUCAGAUCAGUGACUUCCUCCCUUAGAGAGUCUUGAGAUGAGGAGUUAUUCCAAAGGAGGUUCUGCCCCCUGAGAACUUUUGGGGAGAGAAAUAGGGGUUUCCAAAGGGAUUUCUUUCCUAGAGAAUUACAUAUAUAAUUUUUUGUUUUCUCUUUUUCGUCAUUGGGGAUUCACCAUUCUGAGAUGACUUUCAGAAAGAAAGUGAGAGGGAGAGGAAAGAUAGCUCAGAUGAGAUCUGACUAGAACCUGGUCAAGUGCAUGAUAAAGUACUAUCCAGGUGAUUUUUUUUUUCUCUCUCUCUCUCUCUUUCUCUCUCUGUGUGUGUGUAUGUGCGUGUGUGUGUGUGUGUGUGUGUGUGUGUGUGUUGUGUUUUAUUUUAUUUGUCUUAAAGGAUUUUCCAAAAGUUGAAAUACUAGGAGAGGUUGUAAAAUAAUAGUUUUUGUUUCAUUUCUGUUCUUGCAUAUUUGAAAGCCCACAGGAUCAUAUGAUAGAUAAAGGCACAGAAAGAAAACUUUGAGAAAUGGUAAUUAUCCUCUAUCAUAAAACAAAGAUAAUUAACCAUUAUCAUAACUAAUUAGCAUCUUACUACAGCAGGGCAAGCAAGUAAAUGAGAAAUGUGACUAAAACCUUAAUAAACAACAGACUUUCUGCCAAGACAUCUCUUGGUCUGGGGCAAGUUCCUUGUUAAUUGAUGGCCUGUGACUCUCAACACAGUGCUCUGCUCUGGCUGCUGGGCCAAAGGGAAAUGGGGUUGUUCUGAAACCCAACGCUUUAAUGAAGCAGUCCCUGACCCUGAAAUGUGUGAGAAAAUAACUCAAAAGUGUGAUGAAAAACUGGUCUAUUGAAAAGCAAUGUGAUUUUUCCAGGGUUGAUUUUUUAAUAGAUUUGUUUUAUUUGACACUUUAGGAAAUGAUUUAAUAGAACAUAAUGUCAAAGAAAUUAUCCAUUAUAUUUCAUGUCCUGCAGCAUGGAAUAUCUAAGCUAUAUGCUUACAAGUGAGCAAAUUUAUUAGUGAAAUUUUGUUGCAAAAUUAGGCAUGGACUAUUUUGGAGUGUCAGACUUUAGGACGCUAUCAUAAAAUUGGCAAGAUUCAAGGGAUAUUUACUGAAUUAAUGACAUUUUUUAUUGUCCCCAUAAUCACCUGCUUUAUGAACUGUAGCUGGAAUCGAUGUUGCAACUGGCAAUUUUUCUGAGAAUCCAAACACAUUUAUAUUUUUCCAUCUUUUGAUUUCCAUCAUUUCUGGGAAUUGUUAGUAGAUGGAAUAAAAAGAGAAUAUAUUAUAAACAAUUCAAAACACUAAAGACAAAAUUCCUUGGACCUUUUACAGAUGCCACACAUGCAAAUAAAUGUGGCUUUGCAUUCCAUUGGCUUUGGAAUGGGGAUUACAAUUUCCUCAUUAGCCUCGUUCUUAACCAAACAAUAUUGUUUUUCAAGCCUGUUUAUCAAAAUCAUUUUAAACUUUGGCAUUUUAAACUAAUACACACUGACUUGGUUCAAGUAAGAUGUGGAGUAUCUUUUUUGAUCCCAGUCCAAUCCUUAUUGAAUUAUGACAAAGAAAUAACACCUACUGUUUUAGGAUAAAAUUACAAGAUUGGUUUUAUUUCUUGCAAAACCAAAACAUUAGUAUGGUUUUUCCAGCACAACUAAGGAAAGAACUAGGAAAAGCAAUACAUUAUGUACAACUGAGAUUUCUCCCUUCCUUUCUUUCUUUCUUUUAUUUUUAAUGUUUUAUUUAUUUACUGUUGGAGAGAGAGAGAGAGUAUUGAGAGGGGAGAGGAGAUAGGAAAGGAGAGAGACACCAGCAGCUCUGCUUCAGCACUCAUAAAGCUUUCCCCCCUGCAGAUGGGGACAGGGGCCUUAAACCUGAGUCCUUGUAAACUGUAAUAUGUGCAUUUAACCAGGUACACCACUGUCUGGCCCCUGAGAUUGCUUUCUUUUUUCUUUUUAAAAUUUUUUUUUUAUUCCCUUUUUGUUGCCCCUGUUGUUUUAUUGUUGUAGUUAUGAUAGAUGUCAUUGUUGAUGGAUAGGACAGAGAGAAAUGGAGAGAGGAGGGGAGGACAGAGAGGGGGAGAGAAAGA